rnacentral:rRNA from 1 species
AGAGCGAACGCUGGCGGCAGGCUUAACACAUGCAAGUCGAACGGGCACUUCGGUGCUAGUGGCAGACGGGUGAGUAACGCGUGGGAACGUGCCUUUCGGUUCGGAAUAAUCCAGGGAAACUUGGACUAAUACCGGAUACGCCCUUCGGGGGAAAGAUUUAUCGCCGAAAGAUCGGCCCGCGUCUGAUUAGCUAGUUGGUGGGGUAAAGGCUCACCAAGGCGACGAUCAGUAGCUGGUCUGAGAGGAUGAUCAGCCACAUUGGGACUGAGACACGGCCCAAACUCCUACGGGAGGCAGCAGUGGGGAAUAUUGGACAAUGGGCGCAAGCCUGAUCCAGCCAUGCCGCGUGAGUGAUGAAGGCCUUAGGGUUGUAAAGCUCUUUUGUCCGGGAAGAUAAUGACUGUACCGGAAGAAUAAGCCCCGGCUAACUUCGUGCCAGCAGCCGCGGUAAUACGAAGGGGGCUAGCGUUGCUCGGAAUCACUGGGCGUAAAGGGCGCGUAGGCGGACUUUUAAGUCGGAGGUGAAAGCCCAGGGCUCAACCCUGGAAUUGCCUUCGAUACUGGGAGUCUUGAGUUCGGAAGAGGUUGGUGGAACUGCGAGUGUAGAGGUGAAAUUCGUAGAUAUUCGCAAGAACACCGGUGGCGAAGGCGGCCAACUGGUCCGAAACUGACGCUGAGGCGCGAAAGCGUGGGGAGCAAACAGGAUUAGAUACCCUGGUAGUCCACGCCGUNNAAAAGGAAUGCCAGCCGUUGGGGAGCUUGCNNNUCAGUGGCGCAGCUAACGCUUAAGCAU